ACUAGUGGAAUGCGGGUCUCUAUUUUUCGGGAGCUGCCACAGCCAUCGGGGUUUGAGCUGAGAAACUGGAUCCUUCCUCGCUGAAACACUGCCCUACCUGUCGAAUUUAAGGCAGGGAUGUGUUUUUACCAGGAAAAGAAACUGCCUCAAAAUAUUUUGUAUUUUACCUAGGCUACAUAUCACAAUAUAGGCUCACAUCUGGAUUCGUCACUGCACAGGCUGAAUACGACAUAUCAUGAUGAAAUUUGCCUAAUGCUCGUCAGACUGUUUCCUCUCUCACUUUGAUACAUUCAUUGUAGCUUAGAGUGGAAACUAAUUUACAUUCCGGCAACGUGAGUACAUAGAGGCAAACACAUAGCCUACCGUUAGAUGCAUACGACAAAUUCAAUUAGAAUAUUUUUUGGGGGGGAGACAGCACAAAUAGAUGAUGGCUUUCGAGGUUUAGAAGCUGGCGAAAUCAGAUUUACAAGACCAAGGGAAAGAGUAAAGGCCGAGAGGGGCUCAGACGUGGCUUUCUUCACAGCAGACACAAUACUUUGAACGACACAAAAGCUUUAAAAUCAAAUACUGUCAUAAAGUCAAAUACCAAGGGGUCUACUGCUUCCUGAACAACAGUGUGUUGGUGUCUCAAGGGGACAGGGAUCUGGAAACAAGUAGAUAGGGAGCAGGAGAUAUAGGAGCUACAGGGGCCACGGUGUCUAUCUGCUCCUCAGUUCCCCUGUGAGGCUGUCUUUGUGUCAGGGAUCGAGAGGUGGACACACACAUACAGCCAAGGACUGGCUAACAGCAGGACUAACCCACUCUGAAGGGCACUGGAGGGCCACUGGGCAGAAGGUUGGCAUCUGGCUGGCAGAGAGGGGGCACUGUGGUGAGCAGGCGACCGCAGCAUCGAGA